rnacentral:rRNA from 1 species
UACGGAGGAUUCGAGCGUUAUCCGGAUUUAUUGGGUUUAAAGGGUGCGCAGGCGGGAGAUUAAGUCGGCGGUGAAAUUUUGCAGCUCAACUGUAAAAGUGCCUUCGAAACUGGUUUCCUUGAGUGUAGAUGAAGUAGGCGGAAUUUGUGGUGUAGCGGUGAAAUGCAUAGAUACCACGAGGAACUCCGAUUGCGAAGGCAGCUUACUAAGCUACUACUGACGCUCAGGCACGAAGGCGUGGGGAUCAAACAGGAUUAGAUACCCGGGUAGUCCCU